CACGUAGGGCGCAAGCGUUGUCCGGAAUCACUGGGCGUAAAGGGCGUGUAGGCGGUCAAGUAAGUGGAAUGUGAAAUGCCCCGGCUCACCCGGGGAUCUGCAUCCCAAACUGCUUGGCUUGAGUAUGGGAGAGGAUGAGGGAAUUCCUGGUGUAGCGGUGAAAUGCGUAGAUAUCAGGAGGAACACCGGUGGCGAAGGCGGCAUCCUGGACCGACACUGACACUGAGGAGCGAAAGCCAGGGGAGCAAACGGG
rnacentral:rRNA from 1 species